GGGCACAUGGUGUAGUUGGUUAUCACAUCCGCUUAGCACGAAUACGUUCCGAUGCCAUUGCGGGGGGUGCUGGGUUCAAUUCCCAGUGUGUCCA